rnacentral:rRNA from 1 species
GUGAACCUGCCGGAAGAUCAUUU